rnacentral:misc_RNA from 1 species
CUCUCUCUCUCUCUCUCUCGGUUGAUUGUUUGACUGUAUUUUCUUUGUCACCUUAUUGUAAUAUUUCAAUUGGCUGUUAUAUAAGAGACUUUACAUGGUUUUUCUAUAGAUUUGUAAUGUUACAUCAAUGCAGUAGACAUGGUUGUUUGUCACCAAAAUUUGUGGAAGUGUUUUAUCGGGAUCAUGAUUCUUUGAGGAAUCGCUAGCAUUGUGUUGUUUGCAAUUUACUUGUCAAGAGUAGGAUGGUUAUACUGCCUCAAUGUGCUUAGUCAUUACUAUUGACAAAACAACAGGGUAAUGCUGGCAGACAAUUUUUGCAAAUAUUAUGAUCUUAUCCGGAUGCAAAAUAUAUCUAAACUCUGCUUUUUGGUAUAAAUAAUAAAUGAAUGUGUGUUGCAACAUCUAUUAUGUGUGCCCCACAUUCAUGUUCAACUCAAAUGACCCUUAAUUUGAAACUAGUUGGGGUUGUCUUUCCAUUUCAAUGUAAUGAUAUUCAAUUUGACAGCCGCAUCCAUGCCAAACAUUAAAUAUCACCUAUGCACUCUCAAAAGUUGGUGAACUUUUAUGGUUGAAAGUUGAAAUGACCUAAGGAUUUCCAUCUAACUGAAUGAACUGGGGAUCAUGCAAACAUGGUUUAUGUAUUUGUAACUUGGGGUAAAUAGAAGCUUUGUAAGUGUAUGUAACUUCAUGCUUUUUUUGGUCACAG